AGUGAACGCUGGCGGCGUGCUUAACACAUGCAAGUCGAACGAGAACGGAAUAUAGCUUGCUAUAUUUGUCAGCUAAGUGGCGCACGGGUGAGUAAUGUAUAGAUAACCUGCCCUUAAGAAAGGAAUAACAGUUGGAAACGACUGCUAAUGCCCUAUAUGCCUUUAAUACAUAAGUAUGCAAGGGAAACGCUUUAGUGCUUAAGGAUGGGUCUGUAUGGUAUCAGCUUGUUGGUGAGGAAAUGGCUAACCAAGGCUAUGACGCCUAACUGGUUUGAGAGGAUGAUCAGUCACACUGGAACUGAGACACGGUCCAGACUCCUACGGGAGGCAGCAGUGGGGAAUAUUGCACAAUGGACGAAAGUCUGAUGCAGCAACGCCGCGUGGAGGAUGACACAUUUCGGUGCGUAAACUCCUUUUAUAUAGGAAGAUAAUGACGGUACUAUAUGAAUAAGCACCGGCUAACUCCGUGCCAGCCGCCGCGGUAA
rnacentral:rRNA from 1 species